rnacentral:misc_RNA from 1 species
AUGUCUGAAGAAGAAGGCAAAGAAAAAAUGAACAAAAUGCGUAAGCGCAUCGAACGGGACGCUUAUAGUGUUCUUCUUUCUUUCAAAGAUGGAGCCUCACCGAAGCAGGUCGAGCAAAGAAUGGAGUUACGACACAUUAGGAUAUGACUACUGCUCGAAAUAUCACUUGGCUGGUGUUUACGACAUGGCUCAAAUUCUGAUCGAGCAUCCGGAUGUACGGCAAACUUACGAGGGAAAAUUCAAGAUCAUCGCAAACGAGGACAAUCAGGAUCUUGUGGAUUUGAUCUCGAAGCAGAGCGACGGACCUAGGAAUAAAGGUUCUUCAAAAAGAGGAAGACGUUCGUCAUCUUCUGCUGGAUAUCAUCAACGAUCUAUGUUUGGAGGAGAGCUGUCGAGAUCGCCACGAUAUUCCAGUUGUCGCCCUCGUUCGUAUGCUUCCUUUGGAAAAGCAGCGUCUAAAAAGUUAUUCCAAAACUUCGGGCAACCUUCUCGUCCUUUCUCGGUGUUGUCGUCAUCUAAAGCAUCCACUUCCUCGGCAAUCCAAUCCUUCGGAACAGGAAAUCAUGAUUCUACGUUUGGAAAGUCGAGUGGCUCAAAUGCGAAUCCAACAAAUCCGCCUGUAGCUCCAUCCAUUCAGCGCCCUCUCAUGCGCCCAUCAACUGCGUCUUCGAUUCCAAUCUUCAUUCUUCGUAGUGGAAGUCGAUCACCUGUCAAGAAGCAUGUGCAAAUUAAAACAUCUUCAAGCUCGUCUCAUAUGCCAACCAUCACGGAGUUCAUGAAUAAUACGAAGCGUAUGAUGGUGAAGGAGCUUCCAGCUUCUGUUCACCUCUCCGAGAUGACAGAACUCUAUGAGAGGGAAUUCGGUGCACCCGUAGAUCCACUAUUGUUGUUCAGCAAAAGCUGGAUGCUUAUGGCCAAGACAACAUUCAAAGAGUUUCUACAAGUUAUUGAUGGAGAAGUUUCGUUGAGGGAAAAGUGGCUAGCUGAUCAAGGAACAACAACCAAAUCGGUGCUUGAGUUGCCUUCUCGCAAAGUUGAAGCUACAACUGUUGCUCAGCUACCAAUAUCACAAGGGUUUAGAUACCAGGAUCCUAACUCAAAGCCGAAAGCUGACCUGGCUUCAAUCUCUAAGUCUCUGGACGGUCUUACUUUGAAUGCCAGAAAGAGCAAAAAGGAAGCAAGCAAAAGUGACAUGAUGCCAUUUAUUCCAAAAAAUCACCGAGAAAUUGUCACAAAGAGAUUCGGCAACGCUCCAAGCUCCGUGAAAGCUGAUUCUAUCGUUGAAAGAGUGCAGAGCACUUCUUGUAUCUUCGGUCGACAAUCAGUUCCAUCAGUCCUUUCAAUUUCCUCUUCUUCAACCGUUGUCCCGGAAAAGCUGAACGAAGAAGGCCUGAAAUACGAUUCAAAAGAGCUUCUGCAACUCAAAGCUUUGAAGAAGACUGAUGUCAUGUUAGUCAAUGUUUAUGCAUCGCUGAAAGCUUUUCCACAAAUGAUUGAUGCACGUGCGAAAGCUCUGAUGCAACAAAAUCUUGAAGUCCAAAGAAAUAUGGCAAGCCGUGCCAGCUUAAAUGUUGUUGCUCAAGUGCAGCGCCCAAGUUCAUCAAUCAACCUUCAACGUGUCAGGGUAAAUCCUAAUCAAUGUGUCAAGAAAGUGGUUCCAGUUAGAACCCUUGGACAGGCUCUCGCUGAAGUUAGGAGACAACGAGAACAGGUAGAGCAAGAAGCUUUCAAUGAGCAGCCAGAACCUUCACCUUCACCUCGUCUCGGCAUGGGCUCUUCUUCGCAUGCAGCCAGCAAUGUUUCAGAUGAUGGCUGGGGUGCUCAAGUCGUUCAGAAAGUCGAGAAGAGUCCACCCAAACCGUUUACCGUCUUGCUGCCACCAAUGUCAAAAGGAGCGGGUGUGAAAAUACGGCCUCGUUCUCGUGUUGUAUUAUGCCAUUCGUCAGCGUCCUCGUUUCCACCGUCGCUGAACUCCGAUUUCUCGCCGAACAUCUCCCAGGCGUAG